UAGUAUUAGUUAAGGUCUUUAAACCCAAAGAAUUUGGCGGUAUUUCAUUCCAUUCAGAGGAACCUAUCUCGUAAUUGAUAGUACACGAUUGACUUUACUUAAUUUAUUUGUUUGUAUAUCUCCGUUAUCAGAAAAUCUUUUUGAAGUAAAAAUUUUCUUGUUUUUAUAUUAAAGAUUAUUUCAGGUCAAGGUGCAGCUUAUAAUUAAGAGUAUGAUGGGUUACAAUAAGUUUUUGUUUAUUAUGGAUUUGAUUAUGAAAUUUUUU
rnacentral:rRNA from 1 species